rnacentral:rRNA from 1 species
AUUGAACGCUGGCGGCAGGCCUAACACAUGCAAGUCGAACGAGUGGCGGACGGGUGAGUAAUGUCUGGGAAACUGCCCGAAGGAGGGGGAUAACUACUGGAAACGGUAGCUAAUACCGCAUACCAUCGGAUGUGCCCAGAUGGGAUUCGCUAGGAGGUGGGGUAACGGCUCACCUAGGCGACGAUCGCUAGCUGGUCUGAGAGGAUGACCAGCCACACUGGAACGUGUACACGGUCCAGGCUCCGACGGGAGGCAGCAGUGGGGAAUAUGGCGCAAUGGGCGCAAGCAUGAUGCAGCCAGGCGGCGUGUAUGAAGAAGGCCUUCGGGUUGUAAAGUACUUUCAGCGGGGGGGCGUUACUCGCAGAAGAAGCACCGGCUAACUCCGUGCCAGCAGCCGCGGUAAUUC